GAAGUACUAUUCCGACAUUGCUGGGCCUGAAUAUGCUGCCAAGUACAAGACCUUGAUUUAUCUUGCUGGUUCUGCAUCUGCUGAAGUGAUUGCAGAUAUUGCUCUUUGCCCAUUUGAAGCUGUAAAGGUUCGUGUUCAGACACAGCCUGGUUUCGCUAGGGGAUUGUCUGAUGGAUUGCCGAAAUUUGUUAGAUCUGAAGGUCCCAUGGGCUUGUACAAAGGCUUGGUACCUCUUUGGGGACGUCAGAUUCCAUAUACAAUGAUG
rnacentral:misc_RNA from 1 species